rnacentral:rRNA from 1 species
UACGAAGGGGGCUAGCGUUGCUCGGAAUUACUGGGCGUGAAGCGCACGUAGGCGGCCAUGAUAGUCAGAUGUGAAAGGCCUGGGCUUAACCCGGGAACUGCAUUUGAUACUGCAUGGCUAGAGUCCAAGAGAGGGUAGUGGAAUUCCCAGUGUAGAGGUGAAAUUCGUAGAUAUUGGGAAGAACACCAGUGGCGAAGGCGGCUACCUGGCUUGGAACUGACGCUCAGGUGCGAAAGCGUGGGGAGCGAACAGG